rnacentral:rRNA from 1 species
AAUCAACGCUGGCGGCGUGCCUCAGACGUGCAAGUCGAACGAUUAAGACUUCCUUCGGGAAGUGCAUAAAGUGGCGCACGGGUGAGUAACACGUAAGUAAUCUACCCUCGAGUGGGGAAUAACGUUCGGAAACGAACGCUAAUACCGCAUAACGCAGCGGCACCGCAAGGUGACAGUUGUUAAAGGAGCAAUCCGCUUGAGGAGGAGCUUGCGGCAGAUUAGCUAGUUGGUAAGGUAAUGGCUUACCAAGGCUACGAUCUGUAUCCGGUCUAAGAGGACGGUCGGACACACUGACACUGAAUAACGGGUCAGACUCCUACGGGAGGCAGCAGUCGGGAAUUUUGGGCAAUGGGCGAAAGCCUGACCCAGCAACGCCGCGUGAAGGAUGAAGUAUUUCGGUAUGUAAACUUCGAAAGAAUGGGAAGAAUAAAUGACGGUACCAUUUAUAAGCUCCGGCUAACUACGUGCCAGCAGCCGCGGUAACAC